AACAGCAACAGCAAUAGCCUCUAUAGCCUCCUCAAUCUCUUUGUUCUUCUUCUUCUUCUUCUUCUUUUUCUGCUUUUCAAUUUCAUCACUCCCUACAUCAAUUGCACCAUCAACAACAGCAAUAGCCUCAAUAGCAUCCUCAUUUUCAUUGCUCUUCUUCUUCUUCUUUUUCUUCUUUUCAAUUUCAUCAUUCCCUACAUCAAUUGCACCAUCAACAACAGCAAUAGACUCAAUAGCAUCCUCAUUUUCGUUGCUCUUUUUCUUCUUUUCAAUUUCAUCACUCCCUACAUCAAUUGCACCAUCAACAACAGCAACAGCCUCAAUAGCAUCCUCAUUUUCAUUGCUCUUCUUCUUCUUCUUCUUCUUCUUCUUCUUUUUCUUAUUUUCAAUUUCAUCACUCCCUGCAUCAAUUGCACCAUCAACAACAGCAAUAGCCUCCUCAUUCUCUUUGUUCUUCUUCUUCUUCUUCUUCUUCUUCUUCUUUUUCUUCUUUUCAAUUUCAUCACUCCCUACAUCAAUUGCACCAUCAACAACAGCAAUAGCCUCAAUAGCAUCCUCAUUUUCAUUGCUCUUCUUCUUCUUCUUUUUCUUCUUUUCAAUUUCAUCACUCCCUACAUCAAUUGCACCAUCAACAACAGCAAUAGACUCAAUAGCAUCCUCAUUUUCGUUGCUCUUUUUCUUCUUUUCAAUUUCAUCACUCCCCACAUCAAUUGCACCAUCAACAACAGCAAUAGCCUCAAUAGCAUCCUCAUUUUCAUUGCUCUUCUUCUUCUUCUUUUUCUUCUUUUCAAUUUCAUCACUCCCUACAUCAAUUGCACCAUCAACAACAGCAAUAGACUCAAUAGCAUCCUCAUUUUCGUUGCUCUUUUUCUUCUUUUCAAUUUCAUCACUCCCCACAUCAAUUGCACCAUCAACAACAGCAAUAGCCUCAAUAGCAUCCUCAUUUCCAUUGCUCUUCUUCUUCUUCUUUUUCUUAUUUUCAAUUUCAUCACUCCCUACAUCAAUUGCACCAUCAACAACAGCAAUAGCCUCAAUAGCCUCCUCAUUCUCUUUGUUCUUCUUCUUCUUCUUCUUCUUUUUCUUCUUUUCAAUUUCAUCACUCCCUGCAUCAAUUGCAUUAUCAACAACAGCAACAGCAAUAUCCUCAAUAGCAUCCUCAUUUUCAUUGCUCUUCUUCUUUUUCUUUUUAUUCUUUUCAAUUUCAUUACUCCCUAC
rnacentral:lncRNA from 1 species